GAUGAACGCUAGCGGCAGGCUUAACACAUGCAAGUCGAGGGGCAUCGAGAGAGUAGCAAUACUUUGUCGGCGACCGGCGGACGGGUGAGUAACGCGUGGGUAACCUGCCUUAUACAGGGGGAUAACACUUAGAAAUAGGUGCUAAUACCGCAUAAGCGCACAGUAUCGCAUGAUACAGUGUGAAAAACUCCGGUGGUAUAAGAUGGACCCGCGUCUGAUUAGCUAGUUGGUGAGGUAACGGCUCACCAAGGCGACGAUCAGUAGCCGGCCUGAGAGGGUGAACGGCCACAUUGGGACUGAGACACGGCCCAAACUCCUACGGGAGGCAGCAGUGGGGAAUAUUGGACAAUGGGGGAAACCCUGAUCCAGCGACGCCGCGUGAGUGAAGAAGUAUUUCGGUAUGUAAAGCUCUAUCAGCAGGGAAGAAAAACAUGACGGUACCUGACUAAGAAGCCCCGGCUAACUACGUG
rnacentral:rRNA from 1 species